rnacentral:ncRNA from 1 species
AAUGCUCUAACGGGGUGCCGGACGCGUUUUCGCGGCCCGGCUGAGAGGCCAAGGCCAACCCGCUGAACCUGAUCCGGCUUGUACCGGCGGAGGGAUUAGAAGCUGUCGGACA